UACAGAGGUCCCAAGCGUUGUUCGGAUUCACUGGGCGUAAAGGGUGCGUAGGCGGUCGGGUAAGUCUGACGUGAAAUCUUCAAGCUCAACUUGGAAACUGCGUCGGAUACUAUUCGGCUAGAGGAAUGGAGGGGAGACUGGAAUACUUGGUGUAGCAGUGAAAUGCGUAGAUAUCAAGUGGAACACCAGUGGCGAAGGCGACUACCUGGCCUGUUCUUGACGCUGAGGCGCGAAAGCUAGGGGAGCGAACGGG
rnacentral:rRNA from 1 species